GAUGAAGAACGCAGCGAAAUGCGAUAAGUAAUGUGAAUUGCAGAAUUCAGUGAAUCAUCGAAUCUUUGAACGCACCUUGCGCCCUUUGGCUAUUCCGAAGGGCAUGCCUGUUUGAGUAUCGUGAACACCUCAACUCUCAUGGUUUGCCAUGAUGAGCUUGGACUUUGGGGGUUUUGCUGGCCUUUGGUCGGCUCCUCUCAAACGGAUCAGCUUUCCAGUGUUUGGUGGCGUCACGGGUGUGAUAACUAUCUACGCCUGUGGUUUUCUGCCAGAUAACCUUCAGCGAUGGAGGUUCGCUGGGGCUCAUAAAUGUCUCUCUUCCGUGGAGACAGCUUUUUGGACGUUUGAUCUCAAAUCAGGUAGGACUACCCGCUGAACUUAAGCAUAUCAAUAAGCGGAGGA
rnacentral:misc_RNA from 1 species